UACGAAGGGGGCGAGCGUUGUCCGGAAUCAUUGGGCGUAAAACGCGCGUAGGCGGCCCGGUAAGUCCGUUGUGAAAGUCAAAGGCUCAACCUUUGAAUGCCGAUGGAUACUGCCGGGCUGGAGUCCGGAAGAGGCGAGUGGGAAUUCCUGGUGUAGCGGUGGAAUGCGGCAGAUAUCAGGAGGAACACCGAUAGCGAAGGCAGCUCGCUGGGACGGUACUGACGCUGAGGCGCGAAAGCGUGGGGAGCGAACAGG
rnacentral:rRNA from 1 species